rnacentral:ncRNA from 1 species
AUAAAACUGCCACCGGGUAGUAAGAAUGUACCAAACAUUUUUAAUGUUUAAGCAUUCAUAUACGUAUCGUUAGGUCUUUGAAGAUGCGUAUGUGGAUGCUUUUUUAUU